GACGAACGCUGGCGGCAUGCCUAAUACAUGCAAGUCGAGCGAAUGAUGAAGAAGCUUGCUUCUUCUGAUUUAGCGGCGGACGGGUGAGUAACACGUGGGCAGCCUGCCCUGUAGAUUGGGAUAACUCCGGGAAACCGGGGCUAAUACUGAAUAAUCCAUUUCCUCUCAUGGGGAAAUGUUAAAAGACGGUUUCGGCUGUCACUACAGGAUGGGCCCGCGGCGCAUUAGCUAGUUGGUGAGGUAACGGCUCACCAAGGCGACGAUGCGUAGCCGACCUGAGAGGGUGAUCGGCCACACUGGGACUGAGACACGGCCCAGACUCCUACGGGAGGCAGCAGUAGGAAUCUUCCACAAUGG
rnacentral:rRNA from 1 species